AAGGAGGUUGAGCAUAACCUUAAGUGUCUUUUAGCCAUUUGAAUUUCUUCUGUUGAGAAUUCUCUGUUCAGAAACCUCUGGACUGACUUCCACAGUGGACGAACAAUUCUACAUUCCCACUAAGUAUACCUAAGGAUUCCCUUUCCAUACAUCAAUGUCUGUAUUUUUGUCAUUUGUUUGCUUGAUAAUAUCUAUUCUGACUGGGAUGAGGCAGAACCUCAAAGCACUUUUAUCUGCAUUCAUCUGAAAGAAAGUUGGAAAGGAGUAUGCCUCUGUCAUUGAAGAUGGAUCCACUGAAACAUUAUAGAUUCAUCUCUGGUUCCUCCCACCCCAGGCCAUCAAGGACUAUGGUGAAUGAUGAGGAGACAGUAGAAAUCACCAGAAUACCAGAAUAAUAGCAACCCUCCAGCUAAAGGGCAAAGGGAGAUAUAGGACAUAGACUAGGAGGUCAAGUCUUCCCACGGGGACUUUGUGCAUCAAGGGAAAGUUAUUCUAUGAAACAUACAGAACCCUACAUUCAGAACUCUGAGAAAAGACAUAUUCAGCAAUGAAACGAAGAUCUAUCUUGGUUCUCACUACAUGAACUGAUGUCUAUUAUCAACUGGGAGUCACUAAAAUCAUGAUUAAUCUGUUUCUUUUUGCUUCUAGUUAAAUCAGUGCACUAAAAAGGAUGAAAGGGAUUGUAGUGGUUAACCCUAUCAUCAAAUAUUGCAACCAUUCCAAACUGGUACUUUCAGCCGGGCAAUGGCGGUGCACACCUUUAAUCCCAGCACUCGGGAGGCAGAGGCAGGCGGAUCUCUGUGAGUUCGAGACCAGCCUGGUCUACAAGAGCUAGUUGUAGAACAGGCUCCAAAGCCACAGAGAAACCCUGUCUCGGAAAACCAAAAAAGAAAAAGAAAAAAGAAAA